GUUUGAUCCUGGCUCAGGAUGAACGCUAGCGGCAGGCUUAAUACAUGCAAGUCGAACGGGAUUCGGGGUAGCAAUACUUUGAUGAGAGUGGCGCACGGGUGCGUAACGCGUAUGCAACCUACCUUUAACAGGGGAAUAGCCCCGAGAAAUCGGGAUUAAUACUCCGUAACAUUGCGGUGUGGCAUCACACUGCACUUAAAGCUGAGGCGGUUAAAGAUGGGCAUGCGUGACAUUAGCUAGUUGGUGAGGUAACGGCUCACCAAGGCAACGAUGUCUAGGGGUCCUGAGAGGGUUAUCCCCCACACUGGUACUGAGACACGGACCAGACUCCUACGGGAGGCAGCAGUAAGGAAUAUUGGUCAAUGGGCGCAAGCCUGAACCAGCCAUGCCGCGUGCAGGAAGACGGCCCUAUGGGUUGUAAACUGCUUUUGUCAGGGAAUAAACCCCCGCUCGUGAGCGGGGCUGAAGGUACCUGAAGAAUAAGCAUCGGCUAACUCCGUGCCAGCAGCCGCGGUAAUACGGAGGAUGCAAGCGUUAUCCGGAUUCAUUGGGUUUAAAGGGUGCGCAGGCGGAUUGGUAAGUCAGGGGUGAAAUCCCACAGCUCAACUGUGGAACUGCCUUUGAUACUGUCAGUCUAGAGUAUAGUUGAAGUUGGCGGAAUGUGUCAUGUAGCGGUGAAAUGCUUAGAUAUGACACAGAACACCGAUCGCGAAGGCAGCUAGCUAAGCUAUAACUGACGCUCAUGCACGAAAGCGUGGGGAUCAAACAGGAUUAGAUACCCUGGUAGUCCACGCUGUAAACGAUGAUUACUCGAUGUUGGCGAUACACAGUCAGCGUCUGAGCGAAAGCAAUAAGUAAUCCACCUGGGGAGUACGAUCGCAAGAUUGAAACUCAAAGGAAUUGACGGGGGCCCGAAUCACUAGUGAAUUC
rnacentral:rRNA from 1 species